GGACACUCACUSUGUGCACAGAUUUCAGCACCCAGGAACAGGUCAGGAGCCACUUGUGAGCAGCCAGRUCCUGCCAAGUACAGCACAAUUCCACUGCAACUGGGCAGGCAGUGAUUCCCAGGAUCCACAGGGUUUACAUCACAUGGCAGCAUCCCUGGCUUUCACCAGAGACAUGUGAAACAGAUGGAGAUGAAUAUGGAAGCACCAGGAGAACGUCUCCACGUGAUGUUCAGCCAGUUCAGGACUGAAUUUCAACUGUGGCCACAAGAAGUUUAGAGGCUGCUAUAAAGAAGUGUCAUCUUACAGAAAUAAAUAGCUAAGUGUCUCUCCUCCCUGUGUGGCUAAGGAAAAGUGUCCAUGAGCAUAAUUCAGAUUGAACGGAUUCCUCUUCAGAGCCUAAGUUAUCUCUCAUUUUGGGCACGUUUGGAACCUGUGGCACCACUUGGCCUCACACAUGUCCAUCAGCUCCAUGAGUCAGCCCUGCACAUU